rnacentral:rRNA from 1 species
CCUACGGGAGGCAGCAGUGGGGAAUAUUGCACAAUGGGCGAAACCCUGAUGCAGCGACGCCGCGUGAGUGAAGAAGUAUUUAGGUAUGUUAAGCUCUAUCAGCAGGAACGAGACAAGACGGUACCUGACUAAGAAGCCCCGGCUAACUACGUGCCAGCAGCCGCGGUGAUACGUAGGGGGCAAGCGUUAACCGGAAUCACUGGGUGUAAAGGGAGCGUAGACGGCUGAGCAAGCCUGAAGUGAAAGGCGGGGGCCCAACCCCCGGACUGCUUUGGGAACUGGACGGCUGGAGUGCAGGAGAGGUAAGUGGAAUUCGUAGUGUAGCGGUGAAAUGCGUAGAUAUUAGGAGGAACACCAGUUGCGAAGGCGGCUUACUGGACUGUAACUGACGUUGAGGCUCGAAAGCGUGGGGAGCAAACAGGAUUAGAUACCCGAGUAGUC